rnacentral:rRNA from 1 species
GACGAACGCUGGCGGCGUGCCUAACACAUGCAAGUCGAGCGAACAGACCAGGAGUUUGCGCGUUUGACGUUAGCGGCGGAGGGGUGAGUCACACGUGUGUAACCUACCUAUCAGACUGGGAUAAUUACGGGAAACCGGAUCUUAUACCGGAAGAUAUAUCGCACCUCGUGGGUCGAUAGUGAAAUUUGGCUGUGCGAUCAGUAAUAGAUGGACCUGCGCCGGAUUCGCGAGUUGGUAAGGUAACGGCUUAUCAAGGCUAGGAUGCGUAGCCGACCUCAAAGGGUGGUCGCCCACAUGGGAAGUGAGGCACAGUCCAGACUCCUGCGGUAGGCAGCAGCCGAGAAUCUUACGCAAUGGAGGAGAGCGUGACAUAGCAAAGCGGCGGGAGUCAUGAUGGAGCCAGGACCGGAAAGCUAUGUUAGUAGUAGGGAUCAAAAGUGUAAGUACCCGUGAACAUAUUGACGGUACCGGGUCAAAAAGCCCCGGCUAACUACGUG